AAAAUUUUGAUACGUUGAAGUAUUUGAACAGUAUUUUCAAAAAGAUCAAACGGUUUGUAUUUAUGACUCUCCUACAACAAGAUAUGGUUGUUUUCCCGACAGAUCCAAAAAGAUGGAUAUUCCAGACAACUUCUGCAACAAAAAAGAAAAAGUUUUGGAGUCCUCGAUGCCAGCAACACGAAGCUUUUGGCCAUGUUUAAUUGAUCUGUGUUAACGGCACGAAGCUUCAAGCUAUGUCCAAGUUUAAUGUCAAAAAUGUUGCACAAGGUUUGCCAGUUUGAACUUUCUUUAUUGAUGCCAUCGGUUUCCUGAAGAAGAAAAAAAUAGUGUGAACGACACCAAAAAAUAAAAAGGAUACAAGAUAAAGGGAUUACAAACACGAAGAGCUUUGUGUAUCCUCUGCAAUGAUUUUAUAGCUACAAAUUUGUAUUCUUCAUGUGUUUGAGAUCCACCUCAUGCCCUUUUUUAUAGAACUCAUGAGGAGAUGAUGCCUUUCCUUGGUGAACAAGAAUUAUCCUGUAACGACCCGAUCGGUUGUUUCAUGAGUUACCACUCUGUUUCUCCCAUUUCUACUUCUUUAUGUGUUGUUCAGCUUUAUUUCAUCGUAUCGUGUCGAUUGGUUCGGGAUUGGAGUAGUUUUAGAGUGUUAUGAGACACUUAGUCUCUUUUGAGUAAGCUUAAGUUGAAAAAGUCAAUCAGAUGUUGACUUAUGUGAAAAGGUCUCAGAUGUGAAUUUUGAUGGUUCGGAUAGAUUCGUUAGGUUAUUUGGGACUUAAGAGCGUGAUCAGAAUGUAUUUUGGAGGUCCAUGGUAGAUUUAGGCUUGCAUUGACGGAAUUGGAAUUUUGGCAUUUUCCGGUUGGUAGUGAAAAUUUUGAUAUCGGGGUCGGAAUGGAAUUUCUAAAAUUAGAGUAGGUCCAUUGUAUCAUAUGUGACAUGUGUACAAAAUUGCAGGUCAUUCAGAUGAGGUUUGAUAGACUUUUUGACCAUUUGCAGGAUUCAAAAGUUUUGUUUGUACAUCCCAUCUUUUCGUACGUGAGAGUACAUCCUAAGCCAAUUGAUGUAAUCUCGGAGAUGAGAUCAAUUUUUAAAGUACAUAAUGUAAUUUCAUCAUGUUAUCUUGGAGGUUACAAAUCUUUAAGAUCAUGAAUAACAAGUACCAAAAGGGUUGGAAAGCUUAGACGCUAAAUGAAUUGAAGAAAAUAAGUUUCGUCGAAAGUCGACAAGUUUGGAAUGUUAUAACAUAUACUUUGGGGGAGAGACUAUGGUGAUUAAUAUCAUUAGGAGGUUAAGUUAGGAGUUAUUUUAUUCGUGUGUUAUGUUUUUAAGUCAAGCAAGUUGUGGAACAAAAAGUUGGCAAAGGUCAUCACAAGUUGCAUUCAUAAUGUCCUGAAAUUUAGGUCAAAUGUAGCUAUACUUUUCUCUCAAUAUACUUGGAAUCAAGGGAUGAUAUGCAUAUCAAAUUGAAUAUCUAUGACUCUCUUUUCCAACUCAUUAAACUCUUUAUAAAUACAACAUUGGAGUAGAGAGAUAUAUGCAUUUUUGCGAGUUUGCGCAGGCUGCAAGGUGACAAGUAGGUGUGUCACCUACUUGGUUAAAUGAGAGCCCAAAAAAGGCAAUUUUUGGUCAUCCAAAGAGACAAUUUAAGGGAUUAUCUCCUGCAAUAUAAACCUCAUUAUAUAUCACAAAUAACCAGGCCUAAACCCCUGCAAACUUCCUCCCAAAUAUUACCCAUAAAUCCUAAUUGAUUUUCUCUCCCUUUCAAAUUCUAAUUGGGAGUAAAACCUAGAGUUUGAAGAACCAAGAUAAGGGCUGAGUUAUCCAACAAAUAAGGUAAGUUUACUGCUCUCUUUAAUCUAUUUUUUCUGCUGUAGGUUAAUGGUACGUCAUUCUAUACUUGUAAGAACUCACGGGACGGUGAUCGGAAGCCUUGAGUUUGAAUUAUUCACUUGUAGUGUGCUGUUUUGUGGACUGUUUUGUAUUGCUGUUGGGCUGCAUGUUUUACUACUGUUUUGUGGAGUUUUAGAGGAGUAAUGGUGUGGAUAAACACCAUAUAUAUGUAGGGUGGUGGUCUGGUCGUUCGCUGUAACAUUUCUGGGUCGUUUGACACUAAUACGGUAGUCGAUUUAUAUAUGAAAAGAUUGGAGUGUAUUGGGCUAUUUUGUUGUAUUUGAUGGUGUAAUAUAAGGCUGGAAAAUGAUGUAUAUAUGUUGUUAUUGUUGUGUUAUUGUGUUGUUGGAGUUAUCUUGAAUUUGGAGGAAGUAAGGAUUACAGGGGAGAUGUUGCCCGUUUUUAUACAAAAUAAUCUUGUCGUCCGUUGUGCAAUAGUUGUACCUUUCAUAACUUGAUGAUAGUAUUAUUAUCAUUGUUUUAGAUUAAGGUGCAAAGAGGAGAGUUCAACUUGGUGAUUGGAAAGAUUGUGAUAAGGUAUGUUAAGGCACUUCCUUCUUUCUUUUGGCAUGAUCUAGAGUGAAAUGAAUACGCUAUUCGAUAAUAGGCUAGUAAAUAAGAAGAAAAAAAAUCAAACAUGAUAAAAACCAUAGGAUUCGAUAAUAGUCGACAUCGCGAGAUCGUCAGAGACCAUGUUCCAACAAAAAUAGAAUGGACAAUGGAAGAAUAACCUUUAAAGGUUAUUCAAUAAGACGCUUCCCUAAAGUAAGCAAUGUGAGCAAAGUUAUGCUUAAGGGACUAAGUGUGGCAGUUACAUUACGUGUUACCCUCGCGCGUAAGGAAUUCAGUUAUCCCUAGUAGAGAAGGGUUACCUCAAGGCGAGUAAGAGUUAGUGAAGAUGUGAAAAGAAGUCAAAGAUGAAGAGGUAAACCAUAUAUAGGUAAAUCUUUAUAGAAUUAAAUGCUAGUACUCCCUUAAAAGGGGGAAUAUGGUGUGAUAUGGUAUUAAGUCGGAGUUAAGCGGUUCAGGUAACUAUGGAAUGGUAAAGGAAAAAUAUGGUAAAAGGGAGAAAGGGAUGAUGUUGCAUUUGUUCAGUUCCUACAGAUAUGUUGUGACUCCAGAACAUUAUACAGGCACGACACCGGGGAGAGGCAGUAAAAGUUUCUGGCCAGAAUGUUAUUGAUACUAAGUGCGAAUGAACACUUGAUACAUAAAGAUCCAGCGCGAGAGGUAAGUUAACACUAAGUAAACAACCCAAGAGAGAUUAUGCAGAAUAUAUAUAUGAGAAUGGACCAAUGAGUAAUUAGUAGUUGAUUCAGUAAGAGUCCAGUUAUGGCUAGACAAGAGGUCACAAAUAAAUCAAUAGAUCAUGCAAGAUAAAUGUAGUGAACUUCAACAUAGUAAAUUCAGUCUCGCAGAUAUAAUGACAUCGUUAUCCUUGAGAAAUAUUUGGAUAGGAUUUGGGGUGGUUAAAAGUACCGUAUGGGUGUUACGGAGAUAAAAGAAAGUUUCACUAGGGAGAUAGCAAAAAUUUCAGUUCAGAAGCAACUCUACGAUCACAAGGGUGCGGAGGUAGCUAACAAGGGAUAAUAAUAGGCAAGUAAGAACAACAAAAAAAUUCAUUAGGGUAUACCACGUAAUGAGCUUGCAGCUUUAUAGGAGUCAGAGGAUCUCCCUUAAGUAAUAAAAUGAAAAACUAGAUGAGGAUAAAGGAUGAAGACUUCAACCUAAGCAUAGUAACUUGAAGAAGAAAUGGUUUUCUAACGUUAGUCUCACUACAAUAUUGUAUACACUCCAUAAGAAAGUGGUACCUAUCGUGGCUAAUGAAUGGGAAGUAAAAAUCAAAAGCUGAUAUUUGAGAUCAUAUGAGUUAAAAGAAAUUCAAGUAUUUGCAGGUACUAAGAUAACCUAAGCAUUCAUGCAGCAAGUGGCAGAACGACAAGAAAAAGUAAUUUCCUAUGUUUAAAGGAAACUGAGAAGGCAUGAAAGGAAAUCUAUGGUGCUAGCAAGUUAAAGGAAGGUUGUGAAUAGUAUAAAUAGAUAUAUGUAGGUCGCAAGCUAAAGUAUCGUAGAGUGACAAGGUUUUAGGUAGAUAGGAGUAAGGAUAAGAAAAGACGAGGGAGAAGGUGACAAGCAUAGGUGAGUCCUCGGGAUUAAACCCAUCACAACAAGAGAGCUGAUGGCUUGUGUAACUUAUUGAAAGCUCGAUACAGCCUGAAUGAACUCAGAGGAGUGUAAGACUCGGUGCAUUUAGAAGAGAUGGAAUGCUGCCCUGGUAGUAGAAUAAGGGUGUAAUUGUGAUAAAUGAUAAAAGAAUAACGUUUAGGCCUUCGAUUGAGUAAUGGUUUAAAGAGGAUGGAUUUCAUGAAUUGCACGGGAUUAGAAUACCCCAUAAGAUGAAUCAUGUUGGGAUGCUAUGAAAUAUAGUUAUUGAAGUAUAGUAUUGCCCCUAGGUGGAUCGAGCAAAGCACUUUAGAUGUUCCCCGAUGAGAUGUGAGCCCCACUGACAAUGUAUUACGCAAGAGGUUUCAAGUUAUGCAUGGUAGAUUAAGAUCAACAUUAAGAUGGAUCAACAAUGGAUGGAUAAAUGUUAAAAAGUAUGAGAGGAGAUUAGGUUGUCAUUCUUAAGAUGAACAAUAAUAAAGAGGUAUUAGUGGACUUAGAGUUAUACGUACAGAAUAAGCGGUAGGAGAGUAACUUGGAGUUGGGUGGCAGACCUCGGUAAUACUAAACUAAAGUAAGAGUUAUGGUAUAGUAUGACCUACCUAGUUGUAGUAAAGCCAUAAACAUAGAUAAUUGAGGCUAUGAAGCAUGAUAUAGCAAAAUUCGUAAGUUCGACAAAGUACCGAGCGAAGAACUUUAGUACGCCUAUAGAUGCCCAAAGGGGUAGCUUGUCAUAGUACUAUAUAUUUUCACUAAGUGAGGCCUGGAUAUUGGAUAAAAGAUGGGGGAAGGAGAGAAGAGUCGUAUAGGGGCACAUAUAAGGUCAGAAUUAUACAGGAUGUAUGAAAGAAGGUAGAAACAGUUUUAGAGANNNNNNNNNNNNNNNNNNNNNNNNNUAUUUUUCACUAAGUGAGGCCUGGAUAUUGGAUAAAAGAUGGGGGAAGGAGAGAAGAGUCGUAUAGGGGCACAUAUAAGGUCAGAAUUAUACAGGAUGUAUGAAAGAAGGUAGAAACAGUUUUGAGAUUGGAAGAAUUCCGACCACAUGUUGUGGUAUGAGAAAGAGGCCUAAAGGGGGGAAUACCCUGGCCUUUGGAUUUAUUUACAGAACAGUUUACUAGAUGUCAAGGACAAUAUUAAAGUAUUCGUAAGAGUUACUGGUUAUGAGACUGAUAAAUGCAUCAGUCAACAUUCGAGGACGAAUAUUCCAAAAGGGGGGAAUGAUGUUACAUCGCAUGUUUUCGUAAGUGAGAGUACGUCAUAAGACAAUUGAUGUAAGCUCAGAGAUGAGAUCAAUUUUUAAAGUACAUAAUAUAAUUUCAUCAUGUUAUCUUGGAGGUUACAAAUCUUUAAGAUCAUGAAUAACAAGUAUCAAAAGGGUUGGAAAGCUUAGAUGUUAAAUGAAUUGAAGAAAAUACAUUUUGUCGAAAGUCGACAAGUUUGGAAUGUUAUAACAUAUACUUUGAGGGCUAUACUAGUGUUAUUAGCAUGAUGUGUAGGUUAAGUUAUGAGUUAUUUUAUUCAUGUGUUAUGUUUUCAAGUCGAGCAAGUUGUGGAACAAAAAGUUGGUAAAGGUCAUGACAAGUUGCAUUCAUAAUGUGCUGAAAUUUAGGUCAAAUAUAGCUGCACUUUUCUCCCAAUAUACUUGGAAUCAAGGGAUGAUCUGCAUAUCAAAUUGAAGAUAUAUGAGUUAGUCUAUAAAUUAUUAAACCGUUUAUCAAUACAACAUUGGAGUAGAGAGAUAUAUGCAUUUUUGCGAGACUGCGCAAGCUGCUAGGUGACAAGUAGGUAUGUCACCUACUUGGUUAAAUGAGAGCCCAAAAAAAGGCAAUUUCGGGUCAUCCAAAGAGACGAUUUAAGGGCUUAUCUCCUGAAAUAUAAACCUCAUUAUAUAUCACAAAUAACCAUACCAAAACCUCUGCAAAAUUCCUCCCAAAAAUUACCCACAAAUCCUAAUUGUUUUUCCCUCCCUUUCAAGUUCUAAUUGGGAGUAAAACCUAGAGUUUGAAGAACCAAGAUAAUGGAUAAGUUCUCAAAUAAAUAAGGUAAGUUUACUGCUAUGUUUCAUCCAUUUUUUAUGCUGUAGUUUCAUGGUAAGUCGUUCUAUACUUGUAAGAGCUCACGGGGCGGUGAUCGGAAGCUGUGAGUUCGAGUUAUUCACUUGUAGCGGGCUGUUUUGUGGACUAUUUUGUAUUGCUAUUGGGAUGCGUGUUUUACUACUGUUUUGUGGAGUUUUUGAGGAGUAAGGUUGUGUAUAAACACCAUAUAGAUAUAGGUUUGUGGUUUGAUCGUUCGUCGUAACACUAUCGGGUCGUUCAACACUAGUACGGUGGUCGUUUUAUGUAUGAAAAGAUUGGAGUGUAUUGAGUUGUUUUGUAGUAUUUGAUGGUGUAAUAUAAGGCUAGAAAAUAAUGUAUAUAUGUUGUUAUUAUUGUGUUAUUAUGUUGUUGGAGUUAUCUUGAAUUUGGAGGAAGUAAGGAUUAUAGGGGGAAUGCUGCCCGUUUUUAUACAAAAUAAGCUUGUCAUCCAUUCUGCGAUAGUUCUACCUUUCAUAACUUGAUAAUAGUAUUAUUAUCAUUGUUUUAGAUUAAGGUGCAAAGAGGCAAGUUCAACUUUGUGAUUGGAAAGAUUGUGAUAAGGUAUGUUAAGGCACUUCCUUCUUUCUUUUGGCAUGAUCUAAAGUGAAAUAAAUAUGCUAUUUCAUAACGCAUCUACUCCUAGCAACUAAGGUUGUCCAUAUAGUUCUUUCCUUAUGAAGUUAUUCUAAGCAAGUGUGUAUGAUCCUUGAAUCUUACUAAGGUUUAUAUUGAGGGUAUGGAUGUCCAUAAUGUUGAUCAAAAGCGUAACGACCUUACGUCACUCCGAGAGGUUUAGAACAUGAUUUCAUAUGUCCAGCAUGCAUUAUGUAUAGUAUCUUUUUUACUCUACCGAGCCGCACUAUAGUCGGCCGGGUAAAACACCUAUUGUGCAACCAUUGAUCAUUUGGGUUUACCGAGCUCCACAUGGACGGGUACGAUUCUACUGAGCCUUAUGAUGGUCGGGUACGUUUUUACCGAGUCCUCUUUGAAGCCGGAUAAGAUAUGAUGAUGAUGAUGCCCAUAGAGGCAUAUGUAUUUAAAAAGUUUAUGUAUAUAUAUGUAUUAUGCAUUUCAUGUCAGUAGCCCCCAAAGUCACUCGGAUGUUACAGGUUGUAUCUCCUCUAUCUGUCUUUACAUUACUGUUCUUAUUUAUGCUUUCCUGCCUUACAUACUCGGUACUUUAUUCGUACUGACGUCCCUUUUGCCUGGGGAUGCUGCAUUUCAUGCCCAAAAGUCCCGAUUGAUAGAUUGACAGUCCUCCAAGUAGGCUAUCAGCUCAGUGGAAGGUGUUGGUGCACUUCACUUACUCCGGAGUUGCCUAUUUUGAUAACCUGUAUGAGUCCACCAAACUAUGGAGUGUCUGGUCCUGUAUGAGGCUAAUAUAUAGAAAGCAGUAAAGACUGAAUGUAAAGAAGGUAAGAGAUUUUCAACGUGGAAAAAUCUCACACAAGGGGAUCAAAAAACCACGACCUACUCUUAUAGGCUUUUAACUCAACUAACUUGUAAUCUACUUAUUACAAGCCAUUUUACAAUACUUCUGAUUGCAAAGGCUUCAAACUAACUUGUGAUGCAACCACCACAAGCCACUCUCUAACUCUCCUAGUUACAGAGGAUUUGACUUAUGACUAUUCUUAGUCACAACAUAAACUCUAAAGUUUACGAAUUUGGUUUGUUCCUAAAACAGUGCUUCUAAGAAAGCAAACUAGGAAUUACAAUAUAAAGCAAUUACCAAGAUUACAACUCAACUAUAGAUGUACAUAAGACUCGUUUAGAAACUGAUCAUUAAUGGAGUUAUCUUCUUGUUCUUGACAGACCAGUGACUUCAAUGACUGAUGAAUGCUUCUUCUUCUUGAGAGAAUAUCACUGAAUGGACAAAUCCUGGUUUAUCUUGCACCAGGUUGUUUUAUCACAAAAGAUAUCAUAAUAGGUAGUGAUGUCAACUCGUGGUGUACGUUUUCCCAGAGAGAAGUGAUUGAUGCACAAUCUGUACAGCCACUACUGGGCAGUUGCAUUCCAGUUGGAUAGUGGACUUUGUACUUCAGUCAGAACACACCAACAGACCAGGUCCUCGUUGUGUCUCGCUUCUGUAACAAUUGCCAGAUGGUCACUUUCUUCUGUCAUAUUACAUUUGUGCACUUGACCUGUAUUUCUGUCAGAGAACCUAUAAGGAGCAGGUCCUUGUUGUGUUCCUCUUUAUAUUGAUUGUGUAACAGUCACUGACUUGUUUGUGCCAGAGAACCCUAAGAGACCAGGGCACCAGGUCAUUCCUAUUGUUGACUUGUUCAUAUGAGAUGUAUAACUUGUGCGACAAGGUUCUCUAUCUGGUUCUUCAUAACAAGUUUGUUAUAUCAUCAAAACAUAAGUAGUAUAAGGCUAAGACAUUGAAAACCCAUCAAUUUCCCUCUUUUUGAUGAUGACAAACUUAAAGAUGAAAAGCAUUUGUUUAGAUCAGGAUUAACAAUUAAUUAAUCGGAUGAGUCAGCAGUUCCCCCUUAAUCUUAGAUCUCCCUUCUUUGAUCAUCACAGACAUAGCACAUCACAGGCAUAGUAGAGUUCCCCAUUAAUCUUCUCAGCCCCAUCCCCAUCUAUUAUUGUCAGCCCCAUCCCAUCUAUUAUAUUUCCCCCUUUUGGCAUCAUUAAAAAGACCAACCAGUAUGACAAAGAGCAAACUUAGUUAAUAAGCAUAAAGAAGUCUAACACAGCUAGCCCAUGCCACAUAUGUGCACACAAUCAUGACAGAAAAGAGAAGCCAGAGGAACACAAUGUUGUACAUGCAAAAAAGGGGAGUUGUUUCAUUAAUGUUUACAUUGGACUGAGCAAGUCAGGAGCAGCAAUGGUUAAGUUCAACAUGCCAUCACAAAAUAAAAAAAAGUAAACCAAAGUAAAAUAGCAGCCAUGGGAAGUUGGAGCAAAAAUAGCUAGACACUAGGGAGAAUCCUAGGGAGCACUAAGGGAAGGAGGCUUGGAGGAAGAGACAACAAUGGUUUUGAGAACCAGGUCCAGUCUAGCAUUUGCGGCCAUUUGUUCUUCAAGUAGUUGAGCCCGAAGUCUCUCAUUUUCCUUUCUCAGUUUGGCAACCUCCUCGUAUACAGAAUUAGGUCCCUUAGCUGCUUGGCUAAGCUGAGUUUCUAGAAUGGCAUUUCGAGCCCUCAGCAUUCGUAUUUCCUCAGAGGCUAUAUUUUGGGCAUUUAUGAGCUGAGAAAUGGUCGAGAUGUUUCCACCAACUUUUUCUAUGCAUUCAUAUUCUUCUAGAGUGGUCUUAGAAAAUGUUUUCUUGCGUGUGCCCAUUCUAGGAUUUCCCAAGGGAACCUUAUAGAAUCUGAACACUUGAGUGAGGAGAAAGCCAUAAGGUAACCCAUGAUUUCCACCCUUAAAAUUUGCCACCUUCUGCAUGUGAUCUAUCAUGAUUGCUGGUAGGUUGAUUGGUACAAACUCAUCAAGUGCUUCCAUCAGGACCAAAUGUGACUUUGUGGCAAUGGAACGUCUCUUAGAGCGGGGUAGGAGUACUUUAUUGAACAGUUCAAAGGGAAGCUGGUACUCAGGAAGUAACACUUUCUUAUGGACCUGUUCCCCUUGUUGAAUAGUUUUCUCUUUCAUGAUGGCUCUCCGAAAAUUUACUCUACAAACAUCCUUAAGUGAGGACACACCUUCACACGGAAUUUUUAGAAUUCUUCCCAAUGUUGAAGUGUCGAGUACAAUAUCCACUCCUUUUACAAGUGCGCAGAUGUGGUCCCCUUCAACAGUGAAGAGAGAUGAGUAGAAGGUUUGCACUGCAUCUUCAUACAUCAGAGGCAUGCUCCCUUCAAAUAGGUGUUCACAUUAUUGAAAUUCCACAAUCUCCAGAAUUUGUCUCAUGCUAGCCAUUUCUGAAAUUACUGGAUCAAAAGUUCGGCCCCACAACACUUUUUGAGUUCUUAAUCUUUGCUACCACUAAACACCAUCAUAGGCUAAAGACUUUGAUAGACUUGGUUCAUUAAAGGUUUCCCUUUCCUGGUUUCUGGUUCCUUCCACACUCUCUUUUCCAUCUUGUUACCUCUAUAGUUUUGUCCUUUGACAUGGCUAUCUCAGUUUUACUCCGUUUAGACUUGCUGAUGUGCUUUCUAGAUGACCCUUUCUAUUCCUCAAUAUUUUCCUUAAUUAUCAUAGACUGUUGCACUAAAGAACCAGGUUCUCUAGAAGCAUCUUUGUCUAUCUGAUUUACUGGCACACUCUUGAUGAAAUCUUUUGGAUUUAUUUUCCUCUUUUUCCUUAUCUUGACACUUCUCUUACUUUUCUGCAUUGAAGAUUCAAAAUUCUCUUGUUGUAGUGACCUGGUGAUGGGUGAUUUUGAGGAAGACUCUAAGAGCUUGGAAUGAACAGGAGAUGCAGGAGUGAGUUUGCAUGGGAGUGAAUCAGGUUCAUCAGAAGGCCUUUAUGAAAAUAUCCCAUGAGCCAAGGACUCGAGGAGUAUUGUGGUUCUUACAUCUCCUAGGAAUGUUAAGUCUUCACCUUGAUACUCUGAGGAGAGAUAAGCUCUUUCAUCCAUCAGACUCUUAGCAGAUAUAACCAUAAUGUUAUGAGUUGCUUCCUUUUCUGGUGACUCCUUGAGAGUCAUUGAGUCUAACAUAGAGGUGUUAAGGUACUGGUCAGAAUCAUCCUCAGGGGCUUCUAAUACUCGAGGAGUGAGACUUCUUGUGUGGUCUUUGAUGAGAUCGUAAUAUUUACUAGACAUAUGAUUCUCAAAAUAGUGGUAAAUAAGGUUUAUCAUAAAUAGAAAGAUUGUAGGGGUGGAGAAGGACCCAGAAGUGUGUAAGGCGGUAGAAAGAGUGAAAGAGUGAAGCUUUGGGAAUGAUUUCAAGGGUGAUAAAGAGGUGUGAACAAUGUUAAUGGAGGGGGAAUGAGAAUAUUGUUCAAUUGAGAUUGGAUGAGUACUUAGUAUAUGUUAAGAUAGGAAGGAAUAAAUAGGAGAGGAUCCUAGCUAUACACAGAGGAUGAAGGUUCAUAACUUGCUGUGAGAAAGAGGGGAAGUUUCUUAUUGGGAAAAGAACUAAUGAUGAGUGGGGAGAGAAACAGGUUCUGAAAUGUCUAAAAAUGGUGGUAGAUUUGUGGGGAAGUGUUACCGUGCAUAGGGGAUGAAGGAUUUGACUGACAAGACAUGACACUCAGAUGUUGAAAAGUUGAAUGACGUGGCAGCUAAAUUACAAAAUGUUUAUAUGGUUUUUUUUGUUUAUAAAGGGCAUGCAAAAAUUAAGCACAUUACUACUAACCUUAGAUACAGGAACCUGAUGCCAAAGCAAUCUUUUGAACAAGAUUUUAGCAGCUCCCCUCCUUGCUGUUCAUAACUGUGCCUUUGGCUUCUAUGAUCGUCAUGUGUGUUUACCUACAACGGUAUUGAUGUGAGUUAGGCUUGAUCAGAAAACACUUUAGCUACAUUUACCUGAAGGUGUCUUACACAGCCAACAGAUGUAGAAUCGGGUUCUUCAUUAGAUUUUGUGACCCCGUCUUCACCUUGAUUUAUCCGAAAUAUUCUCUACUUGAGGCUUUGAUGCAGGUAUCUGGAGUUUGGUCUUCUAUUAUGCAAUCCUUUCCACUGAUCAAUCCCUUCUUCAUACUGACCCUCAGAAGAGGAUCUCACCCUUCAAUGUGUUUGCAAUUUCUCUCCACUUGUUUAUGAGGUCAUUUCGUCUUGCUUCCUUGUCUUCCAGAAGAUAAUGCAUGAAUCAUGAUAGGUGCAAUUUAGUUUCCCAACUUGAGGUAGAAGUUGGUUGGGAAGAGACAUAUGGAGGUCGGUUUGAUUUCCUCACACUUUGUGUUCUACUGCUUGUGUAGUGUCAUGAGCUGCAUCUUUUCUUCUUCCUUCAGCUUCAGUGGUGGCAAAUGAUGUACCGGGUUCUUUGUGAGACAUGGAAGAUGAUGUUGCGUUGUCUCUUGCCAGUCUCUUUACAUCUUGCUCACUCUAUCACCCUCCUGAUUUGAAGCCUUAGAUAUUUCCCAAAGGCAGGAUUGGUUCAUCAUAUUAAUCCCCACGGUUUCUUCAUUGACAGAAGGAGAGUGUUUUGUUGAAUACCCCAUGAGCACUUCCUGCCAUUUUGUGCUUCCUUUGUUGGAGACCCUGUGGCCUUGUUUUGUGGAUUGCACUCUAGAAGAAGUCCUUAGCUCGUCCUUUUGUAUUGAGCUCCCCAAGCUGACCCUUCCUAUUGUCAAGCACAAGGCAUUUUCUUCCAAUUUGGCAACUCCUGGUGAGUUUUGAUUUAGGAGGCACCUGGUCCGACACCUGUUCUCAAAGUAGAGAGCAAUGUUAAUUUCUUUUGUCCGGAGUUUCUUGGCGAUUCCCUAGACGAUGAGCAUAGCAAUCUCCAGAUUCGUUCUUUCUUUCUGCUAUGCCAUUUUGGGUAUGCAAUUCUGGAGUUUGAGAAAUCUCCUCCUCCUUCAUCAAUUUUGUGAGCUCAUGUCCAGGUCACGCUUGAGUUUGGUAGACUAUGGACCAAGUUCGGCUGAGUUAGUUUCUUCGGAGGUGAGAAAUUUGCAUGUACUGCUCCUUCAUCCCAUUGUUGUGAUUUCACUCAUCUCAUUCUCCAAUUGAUGAUUAGCAGGAGUGUCUGUUCUUGCUUUCUUUGUUCAUUGAUACUACUUGGCUAGUUAUCAGAUUGAUGACAACACCUUUUAGGCCAUUCACCUAGUGCUUGUCUCUACUCAAAUGCCAAGAAGAACCUGUUCUGCUUUUUUAUUCACUGAGAAUGUACCCUUUAUUUUCUUUUCGAGGAUACAUUCCCUUCCUGCAAGGCUUUUAGUGAGAAAAAAUUCAUGAUGUUGCGUGCUUUAAGCAUCCACUGUCCACAGUCCAUCGCAGUCUGCUUCCUCUCACUACUCCCUGCACAUACACAUCAGGGGUUAGAUUUAGGAACCCAAAUUAGUUUGGGUCCCUUUUUACUAUAAAAAGGAUGAAUGAGGGAUUUCUUGGUCCACGCAGGCAGCAUCCACUUUUUGCGAGUGGUACCUGGUCCUUUGCUAGUAGUCACUCUAUGAGUAAAUGCUUUGUUCUUCUGAGCACACUGAACCCUGACCUGUCAAUUUUCUUUAAAAUGCCCAUUAUUUCCGUAGUGGGUAGAUAGCCAGUUAUCAGGUACAGUGACAUACUUUCUGUGUGGGUUGUAGGGAGUUUUAUCCCUUUGAAACCUGAUGCCCUGCUUGUUCCCACUAUUGUUGAGAUACAUUGUAGUGACUGCAUCUGAGGACCAGGUCUAUUUCAAGGUUUUUUCAAGAUCAUUUCUUACUUUCUCCAGCUCAGCUUGGAGUUGCUGAUUUCUCUCGAGUUCUUUGCAAAGACUGGUUUUUACAAUAGUUAACUCCUUUUCGAGCAAGAUGUGCGACUCACUGGCUACUUUCUUUCCUUUCCCAAGACUUACAUUUAUAUGUUCUCUAUUGAGUCCCUCAAUGGUUUCCUCUAGAUCAGCGCAUAUCACUAAAAAGUCAUCCCUUUCCUCUUCAGUGGAGGUAAUUUUUUCUUCUAAGGACUGUUUCUUAUUGCUAAGAUCAUCUAUUGUUUCUUUUAGAUCAACAACUACUACCAUCAGGUCGUCUCUCUCAUUCUCCACACUGGCUAUUUUUUCAUUCAGGGCCUUCUUUUCUAAUUCAAGAUUAGCUAUGGUUUCAUUUAAGUCCGCUACAUAGACCACUAGAUCAUCUCUAGAUUGUUCGGUCUCCCCUAGUUCUACAGUCAAGAUCUCCCUAUCAUUUACAAGACUAUAAUAAGCGUCAAUUAGGACAUUUGAUAAGGACCUUAGUGUCACGCCCCAAAAUCCGAGGAGCGCGACCGGUGCUCAAUCGAGUAAGCUUGACUGAGCAAACCUGCUAGAUUCCAUUCUACCCAAACCAACUCAUGAUUAAAUAGGAGAUGGACUCCAUUAAUCAGAUUUAGUAAGUAUUUCAUUAACAACUUCCAUUUCAUUUCCAUUAGCAACUUAAGUCAUAAUUAUCAAAAUAUUACAAGUUUUAUAAAUCCUUGCCAAACAUCAAUAUUUCUACUUUAAUUCUCAAUACCAAAUACCACCCACAACCUGUCUACGGAGCCUCUAAAUAUAACUGAAUAAUAAUAUGGAAAUGCCGGUAAUAAGGCUCUGGCUAUACCUCUAAAUACAAAGUACAUGAUAAACAACGGUACAUGACCCCGAAAUGAAGUGGGGCUCACUAAAUCAGUUGAAAGGAAGAUGCGUCACAAGCUGCGACUAACACUACCUACUAUGGAACCACCUACAUACAUUUAAAGAUAUAGCGCCCCUGGUAAAAGGAACAUUAGUGCCAUCGGAUAGCACUAGUAUGUAUAACUAAACACCAUCUAGUUAGAAAGAACUAUCAUACAAGAGAAAAGAAAUCAUAAACACAUUCUCAUUAGAAAGAACUAUCAAACAAGAAUAAAGAAAUCAUAAAGGUCAAUCAAAAGCUUUAAAAAUCACCACAUCAUCAAAUCAAAGAAUCAUAUGACUUUCACAUAAUUCCCAUAGCUUUAGGUUGGGGCACUUGAUAUUGUUCAUCAUCAUUCAUAAUACCACCACUUUCUUGAGCGGAGUCCGAUCACGACUCGAUUGGCUAGUUUGCCUCAUUUGAGACAUAUACCUCAAUCACAAUCUCAUUUUCCUUUUUUCCAAAAUUCAUUCAUAAUACCAUCGCUAUCUUGAGCAGAGUCCGAUCUCGGCCUGAUCGGCUAGGCCGCCUUGCCAAGGCGUUGUUCCCUUCUCAUUAAUCAACUCAUUUCAAUAUUUAUUUCACAUAUAUCAAUUCAUAGGCACUUGGGGCCACAAUUAUCGCAUCAUACUUGGCACUAGGCCACAUUUCAUAACUUAAUCUCUUCUUUCCCACAUUUCACAUCAUUUCCACAUAUUUCACAUCAAUAUCAAUUUCAACAACAAGCCAUUCAAUUCAAAUGUCAAGUACACAUGAGAGGAAUCAUGAACCAUAGGCAUAUACAAUAUUUCAGAAAUCAUACACCUCAAGUUUAUUAAUAAUGGAACUUUAAACACAAUGGAUUUUUCCAAAAAAAAAGAGGGGAUACACCAAACCACAAUAAAAACACACAUUAAAGGCAUAAGCAAGAAAUUAAACCAAUUUUUCUUGAAUUACUCUUUUCCAAUCAUGACAAUAUACAAUUUCAACAUCGAAAUAUGUAACAACUCGGAUCACAUUGGAUGUACUCUUAAGGCAAGACAUUAUCUCGAACAGCCACUUAUGGCAUAAAUUAUGUAUAAAGCCUUUAGGGCACUUUAUUAUUAAAGUCAUUUAUGGAAAGAAAAGUUGAGGCUCAUUUCAUAAUCUGUUUCAUAUUUUCUCAUGUCAUAGGCAUCACCAGGUACAAUUAUAAUUCAAGUUCUCGAGACAUUAGCCACACUCUUUUUCCCAAAUUCAUUUGAUUACUUCAAAAAUCUCUAUACAUAGAUGGUUUCACAUAGUUUGGCAUAAUAUAUGCAGCUCCAAUCUCAAUUUAAGGUCUUAGCAUUUCAAUACAUGAUUCAUAUUCCUUGCACCCUUUUUAAGUUAUCAAGAAUAGCGCAUUGAUCAUACUGGAAUGCAUCUUUCACAAAUAUAGGGUCACAACACCAAUUCAUGUAAAGUAUCAAUCAAAGCAAGAAUCCAAAGUUCAGUCUUACCACAUUUACACAAGCAUCAAUAGAGCUCAAUUUCUAAAAGACAGGGUUUUAGCCAUACAUACCUUGUUUAAGCUUUCCUUAAGUUACUACAACAUUCCGAAAAUUCUAGCAAUUCUAAUCUACUUUGAGACAUAACAAAAUUGAACACAAAUUAGGGAGGUAUUCAUGGUUUCAGCUCAUUUGAGCAUUUUAUCAAAUACUAGUUGAGCAUCUUGAUUUCAAAUCUCUUUUACAAGGUUUCCUUCAUUCCCCAAUCCAAUCUUUACUUAUUUAUGUUCAAUGAUCUUCCCAUAAACCUAUUUUGUACAUGCAUGUAUACAUAAUACUAAUAGACCCAAGAAUCAUACCUCAAUAACCCAUCUUAUACCCCAAACUCGAAAUUAAAGUCUAAUGUAUAAAAACUUACCUCUUGGAUGAAGAACAUGUGAUUGAGUUCUUUGAUUCUUGAAGACUUGAGCAAGAUUUGGAUAAUUAUGAAGCUAGGUCUCUCCUUUAUCUCUCUAUAUGCUCUCAUAUCUCUCUAAAAUCAGUAAGAAAUGACCCCAAAAUGAACCCCAAAGCCUAUAUAUUGAAAUGGGGUCGGGUUAUAAAAUAGGAUGAUUAACCCUCCGAAGUCGGGUCUGCGAUCGUAUAAUGGACCACUGAACGGGUAUGCUGGCCGCAAACGUGUCGCAAAACUCGGUGUCCAAAACUGGGCUACACUGGUCCAGUUUGCGAUCGCAAAUCGAGUAUGCGGACCGCAUAAUGGUUUUUGCGAUCGCAUAUCUAACACAGGAUCGCAUUUUUCCAGCCUUUGGUAAUUUGACUAUAACUUUGUGUAGGAAUGUCCAAAUGACAAACGGUUUGAAAAGUUGGAAACUAGACCCAUAGACCUUUCCAAUGAUAGGUUGUUCAUCACAUAAAACCUUAUAUAUAUUAUAUAUGGUCGUUCAAAGUGGGGACUUGUGCGAACAUUUGAAAUCUUAGCCUAUCAUGAAGUUUUGCAAUUUGACUUAGCCUUAGGCUUUUUCUUGGGCCCCAAAUUACUUAACACAAGAAUUGUACACUUAUUUACCAAGUCCAAUUGAUGUCCACCAUGUUAAUAGCACAUAAAAUAUUAUAAUUAGCCUAUGUGGCACCAUAAAAUCCUAGUUUACUUAGCGAAAUUUUUCUAGGGCCUUACACUUAGUUUCUUAGAGGAAUAGAAUUUCAGAUUUCUCUGAACAUCCUUGAAUUUUACCUCAUCAUCUUCAUAUUCUUCAUUAUCAUCAUCUGACUGAUCCAUCAGUGCGAAUAGUGAAUUAUACUUUGUUGUUUCAGUUUCCACUGCCAUCAUGGAACCGUUUUUUGCAUUUGAUUCCUUUUUGGAUUCACUUGAGGAGUCUCCCCAAGCAGAAAGAGCCUGCUUAACGAUAUUGUUCCUUUUUCCUGCUUUGUCAGGAUUUUGCUUGUACUACUCCUGCUUUGCGAGAGGGCAGUCUUUGAUGAAAUGCCCUAGCUUUCCACAUCCAUGACAGAGAUCAUUGUUCCUUGUUUUACUUGAACCGCCCCACUUUGGUAUGCCACCAUUUCUCCGAACCAUUUUUUGAAAUCUCUUAGUAAGAUAGGCCAUGUCACUAUCUUCUUCACUUGAGUCACUCCUUUCAGCCUUAAGCACCAGGUUUUUUUCCUUCUUAGGCUAUCUUCUUUCAUUGUCUUUCUUUCUUUUCAUCUCGUAUGUUUUUAGAUUACCAAUCAACUCAUCCAUGGUCAGAUUCUGUAGAUCUUUAGCUUCUGUGAUGGCAUUUACCUUACUUUCCCAAGACCCAGGUAGAACACUGAGAAUUUUCUUUACAAGCUUGUUUCUAGGAAUGACAUCUCCAAGUGAGUGAAGCUCAUUUAUGAUGGAGGUGAAUCUGGUGUGCAUAUCUUGUAUGAACUCAUCAUCCUUCAUCCUGAAGAGCUCGUAUUUAGUGGUGAGCAUGUCGAUCUUGGAUUGUUUGACUUGAGUGGUUCCUUCGUGUGCAGUUUGUAAGGCUUCCCAUAUUUCCUUGGUAGUAUCACAAGUUGAUACUCUUUUGUACUCAUCAGGUCAUGUGCCACACAUCAAGAUUUUCUUAGCACGAUAGUUCUUUUCUACAGUUUUUCUAUCAAUGUCGUUGUACUCUCUUCUCCCUUUUGGGCAUCAAUGGUCAUGUUUCUUUAAGUUUCUUCAUGGGAACAUGUGGACCAUCACAAAUGAUGUCCCACAGUUCUGAAUAUUCAGCCAUUAUGAAGGCAUGCAUCCGAGUCUUCCACCAUCCGUAGUAUUGAUCAUUGAAUCUGGGAGGUCUAUAGGUUGAUUGUUCUUCUUCAAAGCUUGGUGGAGCAGCCAUUUAAGGAUCCUUCCUAGGUGUUAGCCUAAUAGGAGGAACCUGCUCUGUUACCAAUUAAUAACCUAUAUGAGUCCACCAAACUAUGGAGUACCUGGUCCCGUAUGAGGCUGAUACGUAGAAAGCAGUAAAGACUGAAUGUAAAGAAGGCAAGAGAUUUUCUACGUGGAAAAAUCCCACACAAGGGGAUCAAAAAACCACGACCUACUCUUGUAGGCUUUUAACUCAACUAACUUGUAAUCUACCUAUUACAAGCCACUUUGCAAUACUUUCGAUUGCAAAGGCUUCAAACUAACUUGUGAUGCAACCACCACAAGCCACUCUCUAACUCUCCUAGUUACAGAGGAUUUGACUUAUGACUAUUCCUAGUCACAACAUAAACUCUAAAGUUUACAAAUUUGGUUUGUUCCUAAAGCAUUGCUUUUAAGAAAGCAAACUAGGAAUUACAAUGUAAAACAAUUAACAAGAUUACAACUCAACUAUGGAUGUACAUAAGACUCGUUUAAAAACUGAUCCUUAGUGGAGUUAUCUUCUUGUUCUUGACACACUAGUGACUUCAAUGACAAAUGAAUGUUUUUUCUUCUUGAGAGAAUAUCACUGAAUGCACAAAUCCUAGUGUAUCUUGCACCAGGUAGUUUAAUCACAAAAGAUAUCACAAUAGGUAGUGAUGUCAACUCGUGGUUUACUUUUUCCUAGAGAGAAGUGAUUGUUGCACUGUCUGUACAGCCACUACUAGGCAGUUGCGUUCCAGCUGGAUAGUGGACUUUGUACUUUUGUCAGAAGACACCAACGGACCAGGUCCUUGUUGUGUUCUGCUUCUGUAACCGUUGCUAGAUGGUCACUUUCUUCUGUCAUAUUCCAGUUGUGCACUUGACCUAUAUUUCUGUCAGAGAACCUACAGGGAGCAGGUCCCUGUUGUGUUCCUCUUUAUAUUGAUUGCGUAAUAGUCACUUACUUGUUUGUGCUGGAGAACCCUAAGAGACCAGGGCACGCUAGGUCCCUCUUGUUGUUGACUUGUUCAUAUGAGAUGUAUAACAUGUGCGACAAGGUUCUUUAUCUGGUUCUUCAUAAUAAGUUUGUUAGAUCAUCAAAAUAUAAGAAGUAUAAGGCUAAUACAUUAAAAACCCAUCAUAUUUGGUCAGUAUGAUUUUGAUAUGUAUUGAUUGGUAUGGUGGGGCCAUGUCUUGACCUUUAUGAUUUUAUGUACUCUUAGAGGCUUGUAGACAGAUGUCAGGUGUAUGGAUACUUGUAUGGCCUUGUCGGCCUAUGUUUUUAGUUUACAAAUGGUCAUGUCGGCCUUAUAGGCCCGUAUGUCACAUGUAUAAGUUUGUAUAUCAUGUUGGGUCGACAAAUGUUGAGUAUUCCCUUAUGUUUUAUUCUUGUUAUUUCAUGACGGGUUUUCUGGCUCAUUUACCCAUGAUAGUAUGAUAAGAAUGAUAUGUUACGUUGGUACUCGGUUGAGUAAGGCACCGGGUGCCCGUCACGGCCCUUCGGUUUGGGUCGUGAUAAAAGUGGUAUCAGAGCAGUUCUAUCCUAGGGAGUCUACAAGCCAUGUCUAGUAGAGUCUUGUUUAUGUGUGUGUUGUGAACCACACUUAUAAGCAGGAGGCUACAGGGCAUUUAGGUCUGUCACUCUUUCUUCUUACUCUAGAUCGUAUGGUAGAGCUCAAUUGUAAGAAUUCAAACUCCUAAAUUUUAUUUUGUUCGUAAUACAAUGAUACCUACAUCUAGAAAGACAGUUGGUAAGAGAUCGAAUGUGGUUGUGGAAGAGUUGAUCAGAGGAACUCGAUUUUGCAUCAUGCUUAUGAUGAGUAAAUGUGAGGUCUUCAGUAGAUCAUGUGUGUACUAAGACAUGUAAGCUUCUUUAUAAGGAGCCCUAAGGAAUGAAUGUCUAUCUAUCCAUAUGGUAAAAAGCAAUAAGAGAAUCAAAAGGUAGAUACGAGCUUCAACAAGUAAAAGAAGCAAGGUGAAGAAGGAUACGACGUCCCAGUUAAUGAGGAUUAUCAAUGUUUACAAUUCAGGUAGAAAGGUAUAAACAUUUUGAGUUACUUUCAACAGUAACAAAGAUAUAUACAAUUGACCACACCCAUCUCAAUUAUGCCCUAUGGGAGCUAACAUAUAUAGUUUAAGAGAAAAAUGGGAUAUCAGAAUCCAGCUUUGGUUAGAGUAACCCAAAAUGGUGGAUUGAGCUGGGGGAGCCUAAGGUGAAACAAUAUUUUUUUGAAUUUUUUAGAAUAAUGUGACAGACAGAAGUAUUAGUAGGAGAAUAAGAAGAAAGUAAAUAAAGUAAUGAGUAAUGUAUGAUAAAUGGGUGAUAACGGUAAAUCAAACAAUGGUAGGAUGAUAGAGUCUAUGGUCAAGUGAAGGAAAAGACAAGAGAUGACAGGCUUUGAGACUAUAAAAGAAUAUAUGCCAUAAAGUCAUAUCCAUGUUUUGAGAAAUGAGUUGGUGACUCCAACAUGAUUACUAGAAAGCUAAGUUAGACCCCCGGAAUAAUAGAAAUCAACAUAGGCUAGUAAACAAGAAGAAGAAAAAAAUCAAACAUGAUAGGGACCAGAGGAUUCGAUAAUAGUCGACAUCGCGAGAUCAUCAGAGACCAUGUUCCAACAAAAAUAGAAUGGACAACGCAAGAAUAACCUUUAAAGGUUAUUCAGGAAGACUCUUCCCUAAUGUAAGCAAUGUGAGCAAAGUUAUUCUUAAGGGACUAAGUGUGCCAGUUACAUUAGGUGUCACUCUCGCGCGUAAGGAAUUCAGUUAUCCCUAGUAGAGAAGGGUUACCUCAAGGCGAGUAAGAGUUAGUGAAGACGUGAAAAGAAGGCAAAGAUGAAGAGGUAAACCAUAUAUAGGUAAAUCUUCAUAGCAUUAAAUGCUAGUACUCCCCUAAAGGGGGGAAUAUGGUGUGAUACGGUAUUAAGUCGGAGUUAAGCGGUUUAGGUAACUAUAAAAUGGUAAAGGAAGAAUGUGGUAAAAAGGAUAAAGGGAUGAUGUUUUAUUUAUUCAGUUCCUACAAAUAUAUUGCGACUCCAGAACAUUAUACAAGCACGACACCGAGGAGAGGCAGUAAAAGUUUCCAACUAGGAUAUUAUUGAUACUAAGUGUGAAUGAACACUUGAUACAUAAGGAUCCAGUGCAAGAGGUAAGUUAAGACUAAGGAAACAACCCAAGAGAUAUUUUAUAUAUAUAUAUAUAUAUAUAUAUAUAUAUAUAUGAGAAUGGACCAACGAGUAAUUAGUAGUUAAUUCAGGAAGAGCCCAGUUAUGGCUAGACAAGAGUUCACAGAUAAAUCAAUAGAUCAUGCAAGAUAAAUGUAGUGAACCGCAACAUAGUGAAUUUAGUCUCGCAGAUAUAAUGACAUCGUGAUCCUUAAGAAAUAUUUGGAUAGGAUUUGGGGUAGUUAAAAGUACCAAUAUGAGUGUUACAGAGAUAAAAGAAAGUACUAUUAGGGAAAUAGCAAAAUUUCAGUUCAAAAGCAACUCUAUGAGCACAAGGGCGUGAAGGUAGCUAACUAGGGAUAAUAAUAGGCAACUAAGAACAACAAAACAAAAUUCCUUCGGGUAUAUUACGUAAUCAGCUCGCAGCUUUAUAGGAGUCAGAGGAUCUCCCUUAAGUAAUAAAAUGAAAGACUAGCUGAGGAAAAAGGAAGAAGGCUUCAACCUAAGCAUAGUAACUUGAAAAAGAAAUGGUCUUCUAACAAUAGUCUCACUACAAUAUUGUAUACACUCCAUAAGAAAGUGGUACCUAUCGUGGCUAAUGAACGGGAAGUAAAAAUCAAAAGCUAAUAUUUGAGAUCAUAUGAGUUACAAGAAAUUUCAGUAUUCGCGGGUACUAAGAUAAGCCAAGUAUUCAUGCAGCAAGUGGCAAAACGACAAGAAAAAGUAAUUGCAUAUGUUUAAAGGCAACUGAGAAGUCAUGAAAGGAAAUCUAUGGUGCUAGCAAGUUAAAGGAAAGUUGUGAAUAGUAUAAAUAGAUAUAUGUAGGUCGCAAGCUAAAGUAUCGUAGAGUGACAAUGUUUUAGGUAGAUAGGAGUAAGGAUAAGAAAAGACAAGUGAGAAGAUGACAAGAAUAGGUGAGUCCUCGGGAUUAAACCCAUCACAACAAGAGAGUUGAUGGCUUCCGUAACUUAUUCAAAGCUCAGUACAGCCUGAAUGAACUCAGAUGAGUCUAAGACUAGGUGCAUUUAGAAUAGAUGGAAUGUUGUCCUGGUAGUAGAAUAAGGGUGUAAUUGUGAUAAAUGAUAAGAGAAUAACGUUUAGGCAUUUGAUUGAGUAAUGAUUUAAAGAGAAUAGAUUUCAUGAAUUGCACAAGAUUAGAAUACCCCCAUAAGAUGAAUCAAGUUGGGAUGCUAUGAAAUACAGUUAUUGAAGCAUAGUAUCGCCCGUAGGUGGACCGGGCAAAGCACUUUAGAUGUUCCCCGAUGAGACGUGAGCCCCAAUGACAAUGUAUUACACAAGAGGUUUCAAGUUAUGAGCGGUAGAUUAAGAUCAACAUUAAUACGGAUCAAAGAUGGAUGGAUAAAAGUUAAAAAGUAAGAGAGGAGAUUAGGUUGUAAUUCUUAUGAUGAAUAAUAAUGAGGAAGUAUUAAUGGACUUAGAUUUAUACAUACAAAAUAAGCGGUGGGAGAGUAACCUGGAGUUGGGUGGCAGACCUUGGUAAUACUAAACCGAAGUAAGAGUUAUGGUAUAGUAUGACCUACCUAGUUGUAGUAAAGCCAUAACAUAGAUAAUUGAGGCUAUGAAGCAAGAUAUAGCAAAAGUCAUAAGUUUGACUAAGUACCGAGCGAAGAACUUUAGUACACCUAUACAUGCCCAGAGGGACAUCUUGUCAUAGUACUAUAUAUGUUCACAAAGUGAGGCCUGGAGAUUGGAUAAAAGCUGGGGGGGAAAGAAGAGAAGAUUCGCAUAAGCACACAUACAAGGUCAGAAUCGUACAGGCUGCAUGAAAGAAGGUAGAAACAGUUACGAGAUUGGAAGAAAUCCGACCAUAAGUCGUGGUAUGAGAAAGAACCCUAAAUGGGGGAAUACCCUGGCCUUUGGAUUUAUUUAAAGAAUAGUUUCUUAGAUGUCAAGGAUGAUAUUAAAGUAUUCGUAAGAGCUACAUGUUAUGAGACUGAUAAAUGCAUCAGUCAACAUUCGAGGACGAAUGUUCCAAAAAGGGGAAUGAUGUUACAUCUCAUGUUUUCGUACGCGAGAGUACGUCAUAAGCCAAUUUAUGUAAGCUUAGAGAUGAGAUCAAUUUUUAAAGUACAUAAUGUAAGUUCGUCGUGUUAUCUUUGAGAUUACAAAUCUUUAAGAUCAUGAAUAACAAGUUCCAAAAGGGUUGGAAAUCUUAGACGCUAAACGAAUUGAAGAAAAUAAGUUUCGUCGAAAGUCGACAAGUUUAGAAUGUUAUAACAUAUACUUUGGGGGUGAGACUAGGGUGAUUAACAUGAUGAGGAGGUUAAGUUAUGAGUUAUUUUAGUCAUGUGAUAGUCAUGUGUUAUGUUUUUAAGUCAAGCAAGUUGUGGAACAAAAAGUUGGCAAAGGUCAUCACAAGUUGCAUUCAUAAUAUGCUGAAAUUUAGGUCAAAUGUAGCUUCACUUUUUUCCCAAUAUACUUGGAAUCAAGGGAUAAUCUACAUAUAAAUUGAAGAUGUAUGAGUCUAGUUUCUAAAUUAUUAAUUAUCAAUACAACAUAGGAGUAUAGAGAUAUAUGCAUUUUUGUGAGACUGCUUAUUGUUAGGUGACAAGUAGGUGUGUCACCUACUUGGUUAAAUGAGAGCCCAAAAAGAGGCAAUUUCGGGUCAGACAAAAAUCUCAUUUAAGGGAUUAUCUCCUGCAAAAUAAACCUUAUUAUAUAUUACAAAUAACCAGACCUAAACCCCUGCAAACAUCCUCCCAAAAAUUACCUACAAACCCUAAUUGAUUUUCUCUCCCUUUCAAGUUCUAAUUGGGAGUAAAACCUAGAGUUUGCAGAACCAAGAUAAGGGUUGAGUUCUCCAAUAAAUAAGGUACGUUUACUGCUAUCUUUCAUCCAUUUUUUCUGUUGUAGUUUCAUAGUAAGUCAUUCUAUACUUGUAAGAGCUCACUGGACGGUGAUAAGAAGCCGUGAGUUCGAGUUAUUCACUUGUAGCGGGCUAUUUUGUGGACUGUUUUGUGUUGCUGUUGGGCUGCGUGUUUUACUAUUAGUUUGUGGAGUUUUGGAGGAUGUGGAUAAAAACCAUAUAUAUGUAGGGUGGUGAUCUGGUCGUUCGUCAUAACAUUUCCGGGUCAUUUGACACUAGUACGGUGGUCGUUUAUGUAUGAAAAGAUUGGAGUGUAUUGGGCUGUUUUGUAGUAUUUGAUGGUGUAAUAUAAGGCUAAUGUAUAUAUGUUGUUAUUGUGUUGUUGGAGUUAUCUUUAAUUUGGAGGAAGUAAGGAUUAUAGGGGAGAUGUUGCCCGUUUUAUACAAAAUAAGUUUGUCGUCCGUUGUGCGAUAGUUGUAACUUUCAUAACUUGAUGAUAGCAUUAUUAUCAUUGUUUUAGACUAAGGUGCAAAGAGGCGAGUUCAACUUGGUGAUUGGAAAGAUUGUGAUAAGGUAUGUUAAGGCACUUCCUUAUUUCUUUUGGCAUGAUCUAAAGUGAAACGAAUACGUUAUUUCAUAACGGAUCUACUUCUAGCAACUAAGGUUGUCCAUAUGGUUCUUUCCUUAUAAAGUUAUUCUAAGAAAGUGUGUAUGAUCCUUGAAUCUUACUGAGGUUCAUAUUGAGGGUAUGGAUGUCCAUAAUGUUGAUCGAAAGCAUAACGACCUUACGUCAAUCCGAAAGGUUUAGAACGUGAUUUCAUGAGUCCAGCAUACAUUAUAUAUAGUAUCUAUUUUAAUCUACUGAGCCACACUAUAGUCGGCCGGGUACGGAACCUAUUGUGCAACCACUGAUCAGUUAGGUUUACCGAGAUCCACGUGGCCGGGUACGAUUCUACCGAUCCUUAUGAUGGCUGGGUACGUUUUUACCGAGUCCUCUUUGAGUCCGGGUACAAUAUGAUGAUGAUGAUGAUGAUUCCCACAGAGGCAUAUGUGUUUAAAAAUUUUAUGUAUAUAUAUGUAUUAUGCAUUCCAUGUCAAUAACCCCCAGAGGCACUCAGAUGUUACAGGUUGUAUCUCAUCUAUCUCUCUUUAUAUUAUUGUUCUUGUCUAUGUUUUUCUACCUUACAUACUCGGUACUUUAUUCGUACUAACAUUCUUUUUGCCUGGGGAAGUUGCGUUUCAUGCCUGCAUGUCCCGAUUGAUAGAUUAACAAUCCUCCAAGUAGGCUAUCAGCUCAGCGGAAGGUGUUAGUGCACUCCACUUGCUCCGGAAUUGCCUAUUUGGUCAGUAUGCUUUGGAUAUGUAUUGAUUGGUAUGAUGGGGCCCUGUCCUGACCUUUAUAAUUUUAUGUACUCUUAGAGGCUUGUAGACAAAUGUCAGGUGUAUGGAUACUUGUAUGGCCUUGUUGGCCUAUGUUUUGAGUUUACAAAUGGUCAUGUCGGUCUAUAUGUCACAUGUAUAAGUUUGUAUAUCAUGUUGGGUCGUCAUAUGUUGAGUAUUCCUUUAUGUUAUAUUCUUGUUAUCCCAGGUGCUAGAGGUGUAAUGCACUGUGAGACUGCCUGAAGUUGCUGGAGGUGUAACGCACUUGUGAGACUGCAGGAGCGGGUAGAUGGGCGCAGGUGCAGUCCCAAGGCAUUAAGUGGAAACCGCAGAUGCGGUUGGUUAGACCAUAGAAGAGAAAAAAGGACCGCAGGUGCGGAAUCCCUGGGUCAGAAAGUAUAUAAGUUCCCCUUCGCGAAAUUUGGGUUGUUGUCCACCAUUUUAAUCCGGAGUUGAAGCUUCUUGGAGGGUUUUAAAGAGGGAAUCAAAGGGAAUUCCAUUUAGGUGAGUUUUUUGAAUCUAAAACUCGAUCCUAUGUUGAUUUUCAGUUGUUUAAGCAUGAAAUUUAUGAGAUUAGUGGUGAAAAGUUAGGAAGUUAGGGCUUGAAAUUUGAAGGGUAAAAUUGAGGAUUUGAGAGACCAAUUGAGGUCCGAUUUUGAUAUUCUUGGUAUAUAUGGACUCAUGAGAGGAUAAGAAUUCUAUUGAUGUGAUUUUUAUCAGAUUUCGAGUUGUGGGCUCGGGGGUCGGGUUGGACCAAUUUCGGAAUUUUUGAUGUAAUUUGAUUAUUUUUUUCGCAUGGGCUUCGUUCCCUUAGCACAUAUUGAUGUUAUGAUUCUAAUUUUUGGAUAGAUUCGAUGCGAGUUGAGUCCGAGUCGAGAGGCAAGGGCGUCGUAGAGUAGUAUUUUAUCUGGUUGAGGUAAGUAACGAUUGUAAAUCUAGACUGAGGGUAUGAAACCCCAGAAUUUCGUACUGUUUUGAUAAUGGGGUGGCGCACAUGCUAGGUGACGGGUGUGUGGACGUGCACCCAUAGGGAUUGUGACUUGGUCAGUCCCGUGGCGAUUGUAUAGUCGCGUAUUUUAAUAUACUGUAUAUGAUAUCCAUGUGUUUGAGAAAUGAAUUUGUUAACUUGGGAUAAAUGCCAUGUUUGGGGCCUUGUGCCGAACUGUUUAAACUUUUAGGGGUAUUUUACUACUUUCCUCACCAUGUUUGAUUUGAAAGCAUAUCCUCAGUCAUGUUUACCUAUUUAUUGUUUAAUCCGUUUUCAUCACUCUUCUUUUUAAUAUAUGAAAACUGUUUAGGUUGAAUUUCNNNNNNNNNNNNNNNNNNNNNNNNNAUAUAUAUAUAUAUUAUUGAUUGGGCUGCACGUCACAACGAUAUUUAUAUGGGUCGGGUUGCGCGCCGUAGCGAUAUGACGGUUGGGCUGUAGGAGCCCCUAUGGAGUCUGUACACCCCCAGUGAGCGUAGUCGACUAUCUAUUACAGAUUGGGCUACACACCAUAUCGGUUAUUAUUAUUAUUAUUAUUAUUAUUAUGAGAUACCUAUUGAGCCGAAGUGCUGAGUGUGAGUACUGAUUGAUGAGAGGUGAGUGAUGAGUGACUGAGAGGCUUGCCCGAGAGGCUAUACUUAUGAGUGAUACCUUACUCGAGGGGAUUGUUUAUGAUAUUUUUCUGUUUUCACUCUUCUUUAUUACUGAGCCUCUGUUAAAUAAAUGUUUUAAAGGAUUUUUAAUUGAAAAUGAAGUUUUUACGAGAUAAUUGGCUACUAAACUGUAGAUUUCGACUGGAUAUUUCUGUUGAGAUUUCUUGAUAAGUAUGCAUAUGAUUUUAAAUGCUCAUCACCACACUCAGACUUUAUUUACUUUAGUUAUUUACUGAGUUGGUAUACUCACGUUACUCCCUGCACCUUGUGUGCAGAUCUAGGUGUCCGAGCAUCAGAGUGAGAGCUUCCAGCACUCUCAGAGUCUUAUCCGGAGAUCACAAGGUAGUUGCACAGCAUUCGCAGUCGUGUCUUCCUCCUUCCUAUCCUAGUACUUUAUAUUUCAGACUUGUUUUGUAUUGAGCAUACAGUGUUGAGUGUAUUUAGUGGCUCAUAACUAGUGACACCAGAUUCGGGUUGUGUUGAUGUAUUUUCGUACUUAUUCCGCGUAUUUCUUUAAUAUUUUAAAAAUGAAAGUUUUGAGAUUUAAUCUGUUUAGAAAAGUGAAUUUAUAAAUGAUCUCUGUAUUGUUCGUGUUAUUUCUGGCUGGCCUAGUACUGUGAUAGGCGCCAUCAUGACCGGGGUAUUUGGGGUCGUGACAUUUCCUUUAAGGAAAAAAAAGAGCAAUUCCUAGUAGACUAAUAACCAAGUCUUACAUCAAGUCUUACAUGGAAACUUUGAGACAUAAUUUAAAUGGGAGACCCAUCGCGUGAUGGAAUUCUUCAUAGAACGGGUUUUGCUUAGUUGAAUAUGAACUUGAUUAUUAUUUUUAAUUAAGUCCAUACUUCAUACAGAAGGACGCCAUAUUCAUUUCCUAUUAAAGAAGGGAAAUCAAGGCUAGGAAACCCACAGUGCACUAAGUAAUAUUUCUUUUUGAGCUAAAGUUCAUUGAAACUAUUCUCAAGGAAUGUAAAGAAGAAACGUUGAUCCUUGAUCAUUCUCAAGUCCAACCAAGAGAAUGCACGUGAAAUAAGUCUUAAUGGAGUAUUUUCUAAGGGGACAAAAUGAAAAUGAAAAGGGGGUGUUAUUGUUAAUGGUACUUCAAGUCUCGUAUUCAAAUUAAUAAGUCUUAAAGUAUAGGGCAUUUGUAAAUAGUUACAAUUUUACUAAAUUUAAAUCCAUAAGAAAUUGAAUUUACUAUACAUCAAAUAUAUAUUAUUCCAACCAAAUAUUUCGGACUAGUAUAAUUUGGUUAUUUAUUUAAAUCUAAUUAAAUUGAUCUAAAUAUAAUUGAUUUUUUACUAAAUGGAUCGAUCCAUAUAAAAUCCCAAGCCCAGUGGCCCAUGAGAGUUUUCUUGGAGGCUGCUCCACUUUACACCUAUAUGAAGAGGUGAAAGGAGAAUGUUACAAAGACAACAAAUAAGCAGAAGGAACGGCUAAAGAAGCUCUGAAGAAUAUCAUUAAGGUUCCCAUCCACAUCUACAAUAUUCGCUUGUGGUCAAAUCUGAAAUCCGUCAAGUUCAAGAUCAAACUCUCAAGCUCUUGAACUAUCGUUUGUGAGGAGAAGAAUCAUAUGACUACAUCUCUUUAGAUUUGAGAUAUUCUAGAGAUUGUAACCCCACCACUUGAAAUCGAAUGUAAUAUUUGUCGCUAUAUUUCUUGUCUUGAUUAUUAUUUUUCAGGAGCAAAAUUUAGUUGUUACACUAGUUUUUAUAAAAGGUAUGUCUAAAUGUCAAAACGUGUAUUUUAAUUAUUUCUUUGUCAAAAAAAUACCUACGGAUAUCAAUAUUGCUCACAAAUAAGGUUAGAUACAGCAAAACUUGUACUACUUUUUAUUAUUUAUUUUCCAAAUAAAGAAUUAUUAUUAAAGGGAUGUGCACUACAAGAAAAUUGUGAAUUACAUGGGGAUUUUCUUAGGGAUUAUUCAGAAAAAUUCGCAGGUAAUUUAGUUUCCUGUGGAUUUUUCUACGGAAAAAAUUCCGAUGGAAAAACCUUCGUAGUUAAUUAUUACCUGCAGAUUUUAAAAUCCCCAUGUAAUCUACUUGGGAAUUUUGAAUCUGUAUGUAAAUUACCUACGGAUUUUGUCGCAAGAAACACUAAAUAUCCGCAAGAAACUUUUGGUAAAAAAUCAUGAGAAAAAGGAAUUUACGGAUUUUCAUGUAAGGAAUUUUUGGCAAAUGUUUACGAAAAGAUAACUUAAUUUAUUUUUAUUGUUAUGUUUUAAAUUAAUUCCUUCGUUGUCUACUAUUAUUAUUUAUAUUUAUUUAGUGAAGAUAUCAGCCGAUUAAUUUGGUUGUUUUGUUCUUAAUUUAUUUUUUUGUUGCCUUCUAAAUAUCUGAUCUGAAUUAUUAUUAUUACUAGUUUCCGAAUAAAUGUGUGUUUCCGAACUGGAAAACCCAAUGCUUCCUGGACAAUGAAUUUCGUUGACUACGUUUGCUUCUUGGAAGCCAGUCACUAACUCAUAUCUACUGUCUCUAUCCGGUGUGGGAUCCCUAAGCCAUUUCUUUCACAAUUGUUCAAUUCACUAAAUCAAGAUGAAACUUAUAUAUAUAUUUUCAUUUUUUUGAAGAAAGAUAUCGUGAGUAUGAAUUCCAAAAUUCACAAAACAAAAUUUUUGUUCAAGUAUAACCAGGUGGAUUGAAUUAUGAUCGUUUCUUUAAAAAUUUAUUGACUGUUCAAAACUGUAUUGUUUUCUUUCAAGAAAAAGAACAAGAAUACAAUUUUGAAAUUUAGAAGUCUUAAAUAAGAAAAAAACUGAUAAUGAAACAUUUAUAUACCUUGAAUAAAAUCUUUAUGUAAUAAUUUUUCUAAACAGGAAUUAAACACAUUUUACAUAAUUAAGCAAUUGAUAAAAAUUAUUUUGCCAAUUAUAACGCGAACAAAAGAUUUAGUUACUUCAAUAAUAAAAUAACUUCAUACAAUGAUAAUUGUAGCUAAAUAUUUUUCUACUAAAAAGUUAUACUUAAAAUUAUGCAACAACGCCAAAUUAAAUAUAUUUUCUAAUGAUAUUAGCUCAACAAUAGUUGUAUUUAGGAUAAUUAAUUUGUUAUUCAAUUAGUAACUGGUGUCAUUCUUUUGUAAUAUUCGAUCCAAAAAAAAAAAUUACAUUUGUGAUCCUUGUAUGAGAUUAAGUUCUAACUGCAUUUAUUUUUAGAAAAGAAUGAUAAAUAUGUAUGACAUUGCCAUUAACUAAAUAUGAUAAUUUUAUUAUCAAUUUUAUAAAUAUUGUUGCUUUAAUCGUUUUCUUUUCAACACCUUUUUAGAGUCGGAAUAUUACAUAAUAAUUUAUUUGCCUCGAUAAAGGAACUAAAUGUUUAAAAACAACAUUCACUUGUGAUAUCAGUAGCAUUUUUCAAUUAUUAUAAUUUUAAUUUCUCCAAUAUAUUGGGCAUGAGGACGCAGUUUAAUAUUCAGAUAAANNNNNNNNNNNNNNNNNNNNNNNNNNNNNNNNNNNNNNNNNNNNNNNNNNNNNNNNNNNNNNNNNNNNNNNNNNNNNNNNNNNNNNNNNNNNNNNNNNNNNNNNNNNNNNNNNNNNNNNNNNNNNNNNNNNNNNNNNNNNNNNNNNNNNNNNNNNNNNNNNNNNNNNNNNNNNNNNNNNNNNNNNNNNNNNNNNNNNNNNNNNNNNNNNNNNNNNNNNNNNNNNNNNNNNNNNNNNNNNNNNNNNNNNNNNNNNNNNNNNNNNNNNNNNNNNNNNNNNNNNNNNNNNNNNNNNNNNNNNNNNNNNNNNNNNNNNNNNNNNNNNNNNNNNNNNNNNNNNNNNNNNNNNNNNNNNNNNNNNNNNNNNNNNNNNNNNNNNNNNNNNNNNNNNNNNNNNNNNNNNNNNNNNNNNNNNNNNNNNNNNNNNNNNNNNNNNNNNNNNNNNNNNNNNNNNNNNNNNNNNNNNNNNNNNNNNNNNNNNNNNNNNNNNNNNNNNNNNNNNNNNNNNNNNNNNNNNNNNNNNNNNNNNNNNNNNNNNNNNNNNNNNNNNNNNNNNNNNNNNNNNNNNNNNNNNNNNNNNNNNNNNNNNNNNNNNNNNNNNNNNNNNNNNNNNNNNNNNNNNNNNNNNNNNNNNNNNNNNNNNNNNNNNNNNNNNNNNNNNNNNNNNNNNNNNNNNNNNNNNNNNNNNNNNNNNNNNNNNNNNNNNNNNNNNNNNNNNNNNNNNNNNNNNNNNNNNNNNNNNNNNNNNNNNNNNNNNNNNNNNNNNNNNNNNNNNNNNNNNNNNNNNNNNNNNNNNNNNNNNNNNNNNNNNNNNNNNNNNNNNNNNNNNNNNNNNNNNNNNNNNNNNNNNNNAAAUCAGGAACUGAGAAUCAUACUGCAAUACAUGAUAGUGAAAUACUGAAUCACACUGAGUUACAUGAUACUAAAAUACUGAAUAGGACUGACUGGGCCAUGUAUUCUUGAACUAAUUAUGAAUACUAAAACUUCAACCGUUUAUGGCAUACUAAGUAAUUUAUACUAAGACUCAGGGGCAUCAAACCCAAGUCUAUGUUGAAUACGCACUGAGCUCACAACGUUCAGAAUGAAAGUGGUGAACGAGUUAUGAAGCUAGAGAAUAGAAGUUCGACAACUAUUCAAGGAACUAGGUUAAACUAUAUUUCUGAGGCAAUUAGUAACAUCAUAAAAGAAACGUAGUGUAGGGAGAAUCAUUAACAUUCCCAAACAUAGAGAGUUAGCCUCACAUACCUUAACUUCCUGAUCUUGAGCGUAAUACAACAUUCACCAACCCUUUCAACUUUAAUAUAUAUCAAUAAAAGUCAAAGGCAUUCCAUAUUAGCAAUAAUACUCAUGUUUUGGUUACUUAGGCAUUUUCUCAAACACUUGGUAGCAUAAGGCUUCAUAGUCCUUAUUAAUGGUAUUUAUACACUCAAUAACCCAUUUUCUUUCUUCUAGAUAAAUUCUAAAGUCUCAAAUGGUUAUAAUCAAACAUCAUUCUUUAUCACACAUAAGGUAAACAACACCCUUAACCAAUAAUCAACAGUCAACAACCCAAACCUAUAAUCGUUCAUGUUUUUCUAUCAAACCCAUCAACUCAUAUCUCAUGAACUAGAGUCUAUAAUCAUUAAUUCAAUGAUAGAAUCAAUCAGAGGGUGAAGAUAUUACCUUUUUGAAGUUCAAUCCCCUUGAAUUCGAGUUCUAGGGUUCCUUCUCUCAACAAUGAUAUCCCAAUUGAAUAUCUAAUGAUAUGUAGGGUUUACCCAUAUUAAUAAAAUGUUGGGAAAUUGAAAUUAACUUAAAAUCACCAUUAGAACUUACCUUAGGUGGUGGAGGGACCCUUAAGUAGUUAGGUUUUUUAGAGCUUUCCUUUUUAGAGCAAGUUUUUAUGUUUUGGGGCUUUGGGGACGAAAUAGAGCUAAAAGAAUAACUUCCCAAGUCGGCCACUGCAUCCCAGUAGGACUAACCAUGGUCCCGACCAUGGUAAAUAUCUGGAGCACUACCUCACGACCGUGGUCGCGAUCAAACGCGGCAGAACGUGGUGGUUAUGCACUGUUCUAUAAAAUGGGCAUAACCUCUUACACAGAGAUCAGUUUGGGCUCCACAAUAUAUCAUUAAAAUGAUAUUUCAAAGGCCUACAACUUUCAUGCUUUUAGUGUUCCCAAAUUCCUUACACAUUUUUACUAAACUCUGCAGGAAGAUAGACCUUCUGCGAACUUAGUCUAUUUUGUCAAAUCUUAUGCACCUCACUUUCCAUCUUAAUUUUGAAACUACUAUUUUCACCCAUAAUCAUCUCGAUGGGACUUCACAUGUCCAAAAUAUAACCUUACUACUCCUUUAAAUCAUUCAUACCUAAGCCGAAUUUAUGGGGUGUUACAAAAUGUGACUAAACAUACAAGAUUUGGCUACGACCCCCCAAGCCAAGAACCUAAGACUCACAAGGAAGACCAGAUCCUAUGUGGGUUGCCUAUGUAUCACGCCUCGAAAGAUGAGAAUCGGGUAUGCGUAGGUCGAAGAUUGGAUACAAGAGAGAAUUUAACAAAAACACUAAUUUGGAGAAAACAUAUUUUGUCUUUUUUGAAAAAUGAUGAGACAUGUAAAAUCAUUUUAGAUUUUUUUUAUUUUCUUUUUGGAAUAUGAUGGGAAGGUGCAAAAUCUUUUUGAAUUUUUUAUUUUCAUUUUUUUGAUUUUUUUCUUGAAAAGGUUGUGAAAGAAAAACAUAACUGGGCCCUACUUGCUUCAUUUUUAUACUUCACCGUCUUUCCCAAACAUCAAUCUGCCAGAUGACCCUUCUACCCUCAAAGAUGCAACAUGUAUCACAUAGGGAUGAUUGAAUGUCCUUUUGGGCCAUGAGCCCCUUGACACAAUUUGGACAGGCUUCCUAUGAAGGAACAUGGUACCUAGGACCGAGCCCUACUAAGCCACACAAUGAUAUGAUACAAUAAAAAUGACCUAAAGGUUGACCUACGUUUGGGGUUCACUAACAAGGCAAUUCAGGGGAGCGUAUGGUCGAUGGUGGCUGCUCAAGCUUUCCACCCACUCCAUACGUCUGGUGGCCCCCUCCUAAAAUAAGGGUGACUCAACAAAUAGUUCAUAUACGUAACGCGUACUACGUGACUUGUUGCAGAAAUAAGGCCCAUGGUUAUGUAAAUGAUGACAGUAAUAAAGCGGUAAACACAUAAGAAAAAAUGAUAAACAAAUAACCAACAAAAUAGGUAAUAUGACAAACAAACUAAAUAAACAAAGCAAAUAAAGAAAACAAACACCUCAAUCGAAUAUCCUAAAAGUAUCAAGUACCAGCUCGAACCUGCAACUCCCCAGCAGAGUCGCCAGAGUUGUCACACCCUUUUUUCACUUCACUAACCUUCUUUAAAAUAUAUAAAAAUAUUCGUAAAGCUUAAAAGGAUUUUCAAAAUUGAAAGUGACAAAGUAUUGUGUUUCAAAAGAAUUUUUUCAGAGUCGCCACCUGACAUGUGAUUUCGGCAUGCCAGGUCACCGUUUCUUAAGAAAACAAUUUUCCUUUUAAAACAUAUUUGACUCUAAAACUAAUUACACCAGAGGUUCUAGAAAAAGGGGUUAAUUUGACUCGGGGAGAAUGUGUUAAGCAUUCUCCGAGUGUCGUAACUAGUAUGGUUGCGUACAUGAGCAAGUUAGUUUUAAAGAGUAUUCAAAUUGAGGUUAAACACAUGAAAGCAGAAAUAAACAUAAAAGGUUCGAGGUCGUCCCCACCUAAUAAAAUAAAAUAAGUCUUACUAUCCUAUUUUAUGCCUCCUACCAUUCAUUUCGGGGCAUACCCCUAAAUAAAAAUAUAUACAGAAUCUACGGGGCAUUCCCCUGAAUAUAACUAAAGGGAAUGACCGCUCACCUCGAAUCAAACGAAAGUCCUAAAGAUUGCCUACCCAAGUUACGGCAUAAAUAUUCUCCUAGCGAUCAAAUUAAUGAAGAAACUUUUUUGCUUUUAAUUCCCGAACCCACGACCCACUGUUUCCUCUAACUAAACUUACAUGUCACCAGAAUUAUGGUAUUUCCAAACAAUUAAUUUUUAAUUCUUCAAAUAAGCAGGACAAUUAAAUAAAAUAGUCAGCUAACUUCUUUGAUCCGAGAAACAUCAAUUUGUUAAAACUACAAGAGCAACACAAAGGCAAACAUACAUCUCAGUCAAAUACCAGCAAGAACACAAUUUAGAAAUUUAAUGACGAAUAAGAGUUUAGAAUUGGACCUUUAUAUGGCUGUAAAUUGAUUUGUUUCACUGCUUUGAACUCGAAAAUGUAGCGGACCACAGACAAAAUCUCGAAUCAGCACCGCAAACCUCAAACUAAACCAAACAUCUCCACGGUAAUUCAAUCCGCAACAAAACCAUUUUCAUUUCUAUUUUUCAUAACCAACAAUUUUGAAGUCUACGGCAACAAAGGAAUCUAUAUCCCUUUUCUAUGAAUUGAUCUUCAUCACCUUCUGCUACGUUAAUCUCCAAAUCCUCUGUUAAGACCUUUUCCCUUGUUCGUUCCCAUAUCUAUCUGUGUGUGUGUUUCGUUCCCCACUAUUUCACUUUCGUUCCCUCUUUUUCUCGACUGAAAGUCUGCUGAUUUGGGGCUUUUUGUGAUCUGGAAUUUUUAUCAACUAUAUGUUGCACCGGAAAAUGCAUAGACCGAUAUGGGUAGUUGAUUUUUUUGUGUAGGGGUGGGGGUGGCUGGCGGCUCCUUUUUGUGUAAGAGAGUUAGGUUGGUUGGCUGAUGGUUGUUUUUUGAGAGGUUGGGGUGAGUAGCUGAUCUAGGUUAGUAAAAUUAGGUCUUUCUCUUUUUUCGGAAGUGGGGGUAUAG
rnacentral:lncRNA from 1 species